CGAAGAAAGUUUCGCAGCCGCUGGCUUUGGCUCCUUCGAGCUGGUCAGCCAGAUCUCUGCUGAGGACCUGCUCCGAAUCGGAGUCACUCUGGCGGGACACCAGAAGAAAAUCUUGGCCAGUGUCCAGCACAUGAAGUCCCAGGCCAAGCCGGGAACCCCGGGUGGGACAGGAGGACCGGCCCCGCAGUACUGACCUGCAGGAACUCCCCACCCCAGGGACACCGCCUCCCCAUUUUCCGGGGCAGAGUGGGGACUCACAGAGGCCCCCAGCCCUGUGCCCCGCUGGAUUGCACUUUGAGCCCGUGGGGUGAGGAGUUGGCAAUUUGGAGAGACAGGAUUUGGGGGUUCUGCCAUAAUAGGAGGGGAAAAUCACCCCCCAGCCACCUCGGGGAACUCCAGACCAAGGGUGAGGGCGCCUUUCCCUCAGGACUGGGUGUGACCAGAGGAAAAGGAAGUGCCCAACAUCUCCCAGCCUCCCCAGGUGCCCCCCUCACCUUGAUGGGUGCGUUCCCGCAGACCAAAGAGAGUGUGACUCCCUUGCCAGCUCCAGAGUGGGGGGGCUGUCCCAGGGGGCAAGAAGGGGUGUCAGGGCCCAGUGACAAAAUCAUUGGGGUUUGUAGUCCCAACUUGCUGCUGUCACCACCAAACUCAAUCAUUUUUUUCCCUUGUAAAUGCCCCUCCCCCAGCUGCUGCCUUCAUAUUGAAGGUUUUUGAGUUUUGUUUUUGGUCUUAAUUUUUCUCCCCGUUCCCUUUUUGUUUCUUCGUUUUGUUUUUCUACCGUCCUUGUCAUAACUUUGUGUUGGAGGGAACCUGUUUCACUAUGGCCUCCUUUGCCCAAGUUGAAACAGGGGCCCAUCAUCAUGUCUGUUUCCAGAACAGUGCCUUGGUCAUCCCACAUCCCCGGACCCCGCCUGGGACCCCCAAGCUGUGUCCUAUGAAGGGGUGUGGGGUGAGGUAGUGAAAAGGGCGGUAGUUGGUGGUGGAACCCAGAAACGGACGCCGGUGCUUGGAGGGGUUCUUAAAUUAUAUUUAAAAAAGUAACUUUUUGUAUAAAUAAAAGAAAAUGGGACGUGUCCCAGCUCCAGGG
rnacentral:lncRNA from 1 species